rnacentral:lncRNA from 1 species
UCGUUUGUCUUCACAUCGUCGUUCCGUUUCAUUUCACUAGUCUGACCGCUUUUCACGCGAUCGUUCUCCCUUUCUCCCUCACAUCGUUCUCUCAUUUUCUCCUUUUCUUUUUUUCCCCUCACAACUGACUAUCUUGUUCUCUCCCUUUCCCUUUCCCUUUCACUGUUGUUUUUUCCUCAUCACAUCGGCUAGAGAGCCACCAUCCUUUCUCCAAUUUUUUUCUUACCAAACACCUCCACCACUCAACCGCACUCUCCUCUCCCCCUCAUUCAAUGUCCCUCAUUUCCCCCUUUUCAGUCCUCACCAGUCAUUUCGCCAACGCCGCCCUGUUCCUCACCGACCUUCCCUCCAUCUUGCACCACUAUCGUCCGUACACCCCACCACUGUUUGUCUCAAUUCCUUGCUUUUAUUUAUUUUAUUUACUACUAUUGUUUUAUUAUUACCAUUUUGAUUAUUAUUUCUAUUAUUAUAUUGUUUAGUUUAGUAGAUUAUUUGUCUUGUUAGUAUUAGGUUUUGAUUUUAUUUAUAUUAUAUAUGUCUUAUUUUGUGAUUUGGUUUUCGUUAUGAGGUAGCUUGCAUUGAUUAGCUUUGUUUUGUAUCUUAUUUAUAAAUUAUUAUUAGUGGUAAGCUUACAUGUUUAAAAUAUGUAUUGAUUGGUGCUGGUUUUUUUGGUCAUAUGCAUGCUAGAUCUCUAUGAUAUAGAUUUGAUGUUUUGGGUUAAUUUCUUUCGGCAUUAUUUACUUGGAUUUUUUUUUAUUUUUGUUGACAAUUGUUGCCCAUGUCGACUAUGUUCAUAUAAAUAUAAGACUUAUUUUAUCAAUGAUUAUGAUGCUCCAAUUAAUGAUUCACUACCCUUCUGAUAUUUGAUUGCAACUUCUAUUUCUGGCACAUAAUGACAAAUACAUGAGGAAAAAAACAAGGUCUUGCAUCUAAAAAGUGGAAAACAACGGAUACAUUUUCGUCGUCAGCUUAAACCACGACCACCAAACACUCAUUUCUAUGAUUUAGUCCAGGUCCACAUAAGGACCAAUACCACCAACUGAAGGAGCGACCCUUAGGAAUGGGUCGAGGCAUCGAUUGGGAUGCUCUACAGGCAGUCGAUUUAUCUGUCAAGGUUUGCGUACUGAUCGACAAAACUCCAUGAGACCGGUUCUUUACCAUCGUGGAGUCCACAUACGCAGAACCUCAUACUGGAGUUCUGCUCUACUUUCUUUCUACAACUGACUAUUUUAUAUUGGACUCAGACUAUUUCAUUCCGAAUUGAAGGUACAACGCAUUACAUUAGCAUCCCGGACUUUGGAGCUGCACUCGAAUUAUAUUCCGAGUUCAUUGGUACUCCCAAGUGUCCGACACUCUCCAAGCAUGUCAAUCAACCGACUCACUCUGUUGGUCUGACAUUGUCAAAUUUGAUUCGUAAUAUAACCCGAUUCAAUCGAAGCCAACAUGCUUAUCCCUUGACUAUACAAUACAUUCUUGCUAUUUUGGCACACACAUUGACGGGACGGAAAGAAAGCACAGGGGUUGUCAAUACAUCGGACGCCUAUUUUUUAUGAAGUAUGUAGACACGCCACUCGAUCAAUAUUGCUUAUUUUGUGGCUCACUAUUUUUGCCACUAGUCCGAUCAGCACAAGAAGGUACCAAUCUGUAUAGGUCCUUACAUGACUCGCCAGGUGAGGUACUUUGGGCUUCUCGACUUUCUAAAGCAGACUUUAUCCUUCAGGGGUUGUUUAUCAUAAACCACAUGCGGAUGAUUCACCGUCAGCACUGAGCUGGUCCAAACUGGUUUACACUACUUCAUCUGAAUCCUUGGGAUAAGCAUGAGGAGCUCUCAGAUGAUAACCUACCUAGACAUGCAAACCCAGCUCGACCCACUCCUCCUGCUAGUCACUCCAAUGUUGCGCAUAUGAUCACGCUUGAGGACAUCUGUCGCAUACAACAGCAAUAGUCAGAUCAGAUCAGACGCCUUUAGCAGUAACAUUUAAAGCAAUUCAGCCAUCUUCAGCGCCAGCAGGACCGUAUUGAAGCCUAUCUACGAAAGUUGUGCCAACAUUUCCAUAUCUUUACACCUGAUCCCCCUGUUAUCCCUGUGCCUCUUGUACAUGACAUUCCACAUGAUGUCAAUCAAUAAUUUUAUCUAGUUUUAAGUUUUAUUUAUUUUAUUUUAUUGUUUUUUAUUUUAUUUUAUUUUCCAGAUUGAUAUGUUUUAUUUCUUAUGCACUUUAUAAAGAGAAAUUCUGC